rnacentral:lncRNA from 1 species
GGAAGAGGCCAGAGAGGGGUUGCAUGAGGAGGCCAAGCACGCCAGCUGGUUUCUGGGGCCUUUGGCCUGCUGUCUGUGCCCAAGGUACCAAGUGUCUGUCCCCUCCUCUUGGUUCCUGAGGCUCUGCAGUGCGUCCCCACCCACUAGCCCAUCCCAGACUAGCACUACAAAUCCCUAGAAGUAGCUCUUCCGCAGCACCUGGAUUCUCCUUUUGUCCCACCCAUGAACACAGAGACAGUCGCCUGUUUUCAUUUCCUGUAGCCACUUGUUCUCUUUCAGCCUCUCCCCAAGGCCCAUUCUCAGAUGCCCUUUGGGGCUCUACUUGUCUCCCCCUUUCCUUCUUUUCAGAACACGAGACUCUGAGAGGCAAGAUGGCCUUGCAAGGGCCAUCCACUGGCCAGCCAGGGGCUCCUCAUCCCAGCUCUAAUUUUGUUCUGUUUUCCUUUUUGGGGGGCGGUUC